AUACCGAGGCGUUCGAGUGAAUCAUGGUUAAGGAACUCGGCAAAAUUCCUCCGUAACUUCGGGAUAAGGAGGACCCUUGGCGAUGCGCCCACCGUUUUUGCGUGGGUGGUGUGGCUGGGGGUCGCAGAGAAUAGGGAGAAGCGACUGUUUAUCAAAAACACAGGUGCGUGCGAAGCCGUAAGGCGAUGUAUACGCACUGACGCCUGCCCGGUGCUGGAAGGUUAAGAGGAACUGUCAACACCCCCUUUUGGGGUGUGAAGCGGUGAAUUUAAGCCCCAGUAAACGGCGGUGGUAACUAUAACCAUCCUAAGGUAGCGAAAUUCCUUGUCGGGUAAGUUCCGACCUGCACGAAUGGCGUAACGACUUCUCCGCUGUCUCAACCGUGAACUCGGUGAAAUUGCAGUACGAGUAAAGAUGCUCGUUUCGCGCAGAAGGACGGAAAGACCCCGGGACCUUUACUAUAGCUUGGUAUUGGUGUUCGCUUGGACUUGUGUAGGAUAGGUGGGAGACUGUGAAGCUGCCGCGCCAGCGGUGGUGGAGUCGUCGUUGAAAUACCAUUCUGGUUCAAGCGGUCACCUCAACCUUGGCCCGUGAUCCGGGUUGGGGACAGUGCCUGGUGGGUAGUUUAACUGGGGCGGUUGCCUCCUAAAGAGUAACGGAGGCGCUCAAAGGUUCCCUCAGCCUGGUCGGUCAUCAGGUAGUGAGUGCAAGUGCACAAGGGGGCUUGACUGUGAGACUGACGGGUCGAGCAGGUACGAAAGUAGGAACUAGUGAUCCGGCGAUCCCGUGUGGGUGGGUCGUCGCUCAACGGAUAAAAGGUACCCCGGGGAUAACAGGCUGAUCCUGCCCAAGAGUCCAUAUCGACGGCAUGGUUUGGCACCUCGAUGUCGGCUCGUCGCAUCCUGGGGCUGGAGUAGGUCCCAAGGGUUGGGCUGUUCGCCCAUUAAAGCGGUACGCGAGCUGGGUUCAGAACGUCGUGAGACAGUUCGGUCCCUAUCCUCUGUGCGCGUAGGAAACUUGUGGAGGCCCGUCCCUAGUACGAGAGGACCGGGAUGGACGAACCUCUGGUGUGCCAGUUGUACCGCCAGGUGCA
rnacentral:rRNA from 1 species